rnacentral:rRNA from 1 species
CAGCCGUAAACGAUGCGCGUUAGGUGUAUCGACGACCACGAGUCGUCGAGGUGCCGAAGGGAAACCGUGAAACGUGCCGCCUGGGAAGUACGGUCGCAAGGCUGAAACUUAAAGGAAUUGGCGGGGGGAGCACCACAACGGGUGGAGCCUGCGGUUUAAUUGGACUCAACGCCGGGAAGCUCACCGGAUAGGACAGCGGAAUGAUAGCCGGGCCGAAGACCUUGCUUGACCAGCUGAGAGGAGGUGCAUGGCGUCAGUGACU